UCAAGUGACUAAGUGCAUGUGGCGGAUGCCUUGGCGAUCACAGGCGAAGAAAGACGCGGCAGCCUGCGAAAAGCUGCGGGGAGCUGGCAAACGAGCUUUGAUCCGCAGAUAUCUGAAUGGGGGAACCCACACCGCAAGGUGUAUCCGUGACUGAAUACAUAGGUUACGGAGGCGAACGAGGAGAACUGAAACAUCUAAGUAUCCUCAGGAAAAGAAAUCAACCGAGAUUCCGGCAGUAGCGGCGAGCGAACCCGGAGGAGCCUAGCUUUUGAUAGUACGAACUUUAGCCGAAAGGUCCUGGAAAGGCCUGCUAUAGUGGGUGAUAGCCCCGUAGGCGAAAGAGUUCGUAUGGUACUAAGGAAGCGAGAAGUAGAGCGGGACACGUGGAAUCCUGUUCGAAGAUGGGGGGACCAUCCUCCAAGGCUAAAUACUCGUGAUCGACCGAUAGUGAACCAGUACCGUGAGGGAAAGGCGAAAAGAACCCCGGGAGGGGAGUGAAAUAGAACCUGAAACCGCAUGCAUACAAACAGUAGGAGCCUCACCAGAGGUGACUGCGUACCUUUUGCAUAAUGGGUCAGCGACUUACAUUCUGUGGCGAGCUUAACCGAAUAGGGGAGGCGCAGCGAAAGCGAGUUCGAAAUGAGCGUCCAGUCGCAGGGUGUAGACCCGAAACCAGAUGAGCUAUCCAUGGCCAGGUUGAAGGUGUGGUAACACACACUGGAGGACCGAACCGACUAGUGUUGCAAAAUUAGCGGAUGAGCUGUGGAUAGGGGUGAAAGGCCAAACAAAUCUGGAGAUAGCUGGUUCUCCCCGAAAACUAUUGAGGUAGUGCCUCGUGUGUCGCUCCAGGGGGUAGAGCACUGUUUUGGCUAGGGGGACAUGGAGUCUUACCAAACCAAGGCAAACUCCGAAUACCUGGAAGCGUAAGCACGGGAGACAGAGCACCGGGUGCUAACGUCCGGACUCAAAAGGGAAACAACCCAGACCGCCGGCUAAGGUCCCCAAUAACAGCUAAGUGGAAAACGAAGUGGAAAGGCCGUGACAACCAGGAAGUUGGCUUAGAAGCAGCCAUCCUUCAAAGAAAGCGUAAUAGCUCACUGGUCGAGUCCUUCUGCGCGGAAGAUGUAACGGGGCUAAGCUGUUAACCGAAGCCGCGGAUGCACUGGUUAUCCAGUGCGUGGUAGGGGAGCGUUCUGUAAGUCUGCGAAGGCGGUUCGAGAGGACUGCUGGAGAUAUCAGAAGUGCGAAUGCUGACAUGAGUAACGUUAAAGCAGGUGAAAAGCCUGCUCGCCGUAAGCCCAAGGAUUCCUGCUCUACGUUCAUCGGAGCAGGGUGAGUCGGCUCCUAAGGUCAGGCCGAAAGGCGUAGCCGAUGGGAAUCAGGUUAAUAUUCCUGAACCUGCGUCAGAUGCGAUGGGGGGACGGAGCAUGAAAGAUCAUCCGGGUGUUGGAUGUCCCGGUUGACGAGCGUAGGAGGUCUGCAGGCAAAUCCGCAGACGCAUCUCCAAGGCGAAGUCACGUGCCGCCACGGCGGCGAAGUGAUCGGAAGUGCUUCCAAGAAAAGCCUCUAAGCACCAGUCUGACGCGGACCGUACCGCAAACCGACACUGGUGGGCGAGCUGAAUAUGCUCAGGCGCUUGAGAGAACUCGGGAGAAGGAACUCGGCAAAUUGACACCGUAACUUCGGAAGAAGGUGUGCCGUAGUAGCGUGAGAGGAGAGACACCUUGAGCGUGAAUCGGUCUCAGAGAAUAGGUGGCUGCGACUGUUUAUUAAAAACACAGCACUCUGCAAAGUCGAAAGACGACGUAUAGGGUGUGAUGCCUGCCCGGUGCUGGAAGAUUAAUUGAUGGGGUGAGAGCCCUUGAUCGAAGUCCCAGUAAACGGCGGCCGUAACUAUAACGGUCCUAAGGUAGCGAAAUUCCUUGUC
rnacentral:rRNA from 1 species